UACCAGCACCCCGAGUGGUCGGGACGUUUAUUGGGCCUAAAGCAUCCGUAGCCGGUUCUACAAGUCUUCCGUUAAAUCCACCUGCUCAACAGAUGGGCUGCGGAAGAUACUAUGGAGCUAGGAGGCGGGAGAGGCAAGCGGUACUCGAUGGGUAGGGGUAAAAUCCGUUGAUCCAUUGAAGACCACCAGUGGCGAAGGCGGCUUGCCAGAACGCGCUCGACGGUGAGGGAUGAAAGCUGGGGGAGCAAACCGGG
rnacentral:rRNA from 1 species